CCUACGGGGGACAGCAGUAGGGAAUAUUGCUCAAUGGGGGAAACCCUGAAGCAGCAACGCCGCGUGGAGGAUGAAGGUUUUCGGAUUGUAAACUCCUUUUGUUAGAGAAGAUAAUGACGGUAUCUAACGAAUAAGCACCGGCUAACUCCGUACCAGCAGCCGUGGUAAUACGGGGGGUGCAAGUGUUACUCGGAAUCACUGGGCGUAAGGAGCGCGUAGGCGGGUUAGCAAGUCAGGGGUGAAAUCCUAGGCCUAAACCCUAGAACUGCAUUUGAAACUUUUAUUCUAGAGUGUGAGAAGGAUGGUGGAAGUCUGGGUGUGGGGUGAAAAGCAGUAGAAAUCAAGAGGAAUACUCAU
rnacentral:rRNA from 1 species